rnacentral:rRNA from 1 species
GAUGAACGCUAGCGGCAGGCCUAAUACAUGCAAGUCGAGGGGUAGAAGAGGCUUGCUUCUUUGAGACCGGCGCACGGGUGCGUAACGCGUAUGCAACCUACCUUCAUCUGGGGGAUAGCCCGGAGAAAUCCGGAUUAAUACCGCAUAAAAUCACAGGAUGGCAUUAUCCAAUGAUCAAACAUUUAUGGGAUGGAGAUGGGCAUGCGUGUCAUUAGCUAGUUGGCGGGGUAACGGCCCACCAAGGCGACGAUGACUAGGGGAUCUGAGAGGAUGGCCCCCCGCACUGGUACUGAGACACGGACCAGACUCCUACGGGAGGCAGCAGUAAGGAAUAUUGGUCAAUGGAGGCAACUCUGAACCAGCCAUGCCGCGUGCAGGAAGACUGCCCUAUGGGUUGUAAACUGCUUUUAUUCGGGAAUAAACCUUAUUACGUGUAAUAAGCUGAAUGUACCGAAGGAGUAAGGAUCGGCUAACUCCGUGCCAGCAGCCGCCGUAAAAC